AUGGGGAAGAGCAAGGGCCGGGCGUCCAGCAGCGGCCUGGCGGCGUCGCUGCUGCCCGACGCGCAGGGCGCCGCCGUCCCCGCCGUCGGAUUCGGGGGCUACCACGGCGCCUCCCGCGUCGACCCCGCCGCCCUGCACCUGCUCCCCUCCGACGACCCCGACGCCCCAGCCCGCCUGCCCCCCGAUGUGGACGCCCAAGUGCUGCAGCACCUCCGGAGGCUCGGCCGCAAAGAUCCCACCNNNNAGCUCAAGGCAUUAUCUACGCUCUCGGUGCUGUUUGCGCAGCAACCUGCCGACCAAGUUGUGCAAAUUGUUCCUCAAUGGGCCUUCGAGUACAAGAGGCUGCUGCUUGACUAUAACAGAGAAGUUCGUCGUGCUACCAACGAUACCAUGUCUAGCCUAGUCACCGCAGUCAAGAAGGGCCUAGCUCCGCAUCUCAAGUCUCUGAUGGGUCCUUGGUGGUUUUCUCAGUUUGACCCUGCUGCUGAGGUUGCACAGGCUGGUCGUCGUUCAUUCGAGGCAGCAUUCCCACAAUCGGACAGAAGGUUGGAUGCUUUAAUGCUGUGUGUGAAGGAGACGUUUGUGUACCUGAAUGAGAAUCUGAAGCUAACAACACAAGCUUUAUCUGACAAGGUUACACCGACAGAUGAAUUAGAAGAUAUGCAUCAUCGGGUAAUAUCAUCGUCUCUGUUAGCAAUGGCAACUCUUAUCGACAUUUUACUAGGAGUAAAAUUAAAAAGUAAUGGCGGUGAAAGUGCAAAUACCGAAAGCAAGAGUCAUUUAAAAGUUCGAUCUGCCACAUUGUCUUCUGCUGAAGCCGCACUUUCUAUGCAUAAAUAUUUUAUCGAUUUUCUGAAGUCAAAAAGUGCUGCUAUACGGUCAGCUACAUAUACUCUGCUUACAAGUUAUAUCAAGUAUGUUCCUCAUGUUUUCAACGAAGAAGCCAUGAAGAUACUGUCGUCCACAAUACUUGGCGCCUUCAAUGAGAAGGACCCAUUGUGCCACUCUGCUAUGUGGGACACUAUUCUUGUUUUUUCUAGAAAGUUUCCAGAGGCUUGGUCAUAUUGCAAUAUUCACAAGGUUGUCCUCAAUCGGUUUUGGCACUUCCUACAAAAUGGUUGCUAUGGGUCUAAACAGGCCUCAUACCCUCUAAUUGUUCAGUUUUUGGAUGUUAUACCAUCAGAAGUUGCUACAGAGAAAUUUGCUAUUGAGUUCUUACAAAAUCUUUGGGCUGGUAGAAACCAGAGGCAGUUAUCAGCUGCUGACAGUUUGGCUUUCUUCACUGCCUUCAAACUGAGCUUUUUGUGGCUUCUUAAGAAAGUACCAAGAAAUUCUGUAGGAGAUUCUUCAGAUAAUAUUCACAACAGGCUUAUAACGAACGUGCUAGUCAAAAUUGUCUGGCAUGAUUACCUUCAAUUAUCGUUAUCCAAAAACCUGGACACAAUUCCAGGUUUGUUGUCUGAAGAAGCAACUACUGACGAUCACCAGCUAUCUCAUAAGUCAUUGUUGGUGCAGAACGUGCGCCUUCCAAUUUACUAUUAUCAGGACUUGGGGAAAUGUAUCGUUGAAAUACUGGAUGAGAUUUCAGUUGCAGAAAGUCACUUGUUGGAAGUUGCUUGUGAGUCUCUGUUGAGGGACUAUUUGGACAUAGUUCACCAAGGGGAGAAGCUAUCAAAAUUUCAGGAUCAUGUAGACCAACUUGCUUCUUUCUUUUGUUCUUUGGAUCUACUCGUUGUACAGAACGGUAGGACAUGGCCGCUGGAAAACUUAGCAAGACCACUGGUUAUACAUUCUCUGCCAGCCAUCAAGUCCAUGGACUCCCCAAGUCUUGUUAAACUCCUUCUAAAUUUGGUUGAAAUAUUCGGGCCUGUCCACCUGUUCUUGAAAUAUUCUGAGAAAAAUGAUGAUAAAUCAUAUGUUGAGCCUUAUUUGAAUGUAUUCAAUUCCGACUUUGUCCCUUGGUGCUUGGAUGGCAAGCAUAUCACCUGCAGCUCAAAGAUUGAUUUAUUGCUUUCUUUAAUUCAAGAAGAGUGCUUUUUUGACCAGUGGUGUUUGAUCAUCAAAUAUAUUAUAGCUAAACAAAAGCGAUCAGUUGAUGAUAAAAUCUCACACACUAAUGACCAAUUUGAACUGCUGACGCUUAUACUUCAAAAAGUCAGAGAAAGAAUUGCUGGGGGAAAGCUGAGAAAUUUGCAGAGAAGUGGUUCCCUGCCAGAACAUUGGCGUCAUGAUCUAUUGGAUUCUGUUGCAGUAUCUGUCUUCUGUGAUCUGCCAGCUACAGAUUCUCAUGUACAUUUUCUAUGUGCUGCACUUGGUGGCUCCAGUCAAGAUGAUCAAGUUUGUUUUCUUUCUGCUGAGGCUGUUUGCAAAAUUCGUGAAUCCAUUUUGAAGUCUUUGGCAUCGGUACUCACCACAUCAACUUUUGAAUGGACAAGGUCUGCACAUUUUCUGUUGUUGCCAGCGGAACAUGAGCAUUUGAAGCUUCUAGGAGAACAGUCCUUGUUGGCAAACUUUGAGAUGGCUCAGUUCGCUUUUCAAGUUUUUGAGCGUAGCUUGUUUGCGCUAAGGAUACACGAGGAAGAUUCGGUUUUCUCUCAUAUUCUGGCGGCUUUGUUUAUCAUCGAAUGGGAAUGCAGCAUGGCUUUAACUCUUGAAGAAGAGAAUGAUUUGGAAGGUCACAAGGAAGAAAUUGAUGCUGAGACUUUGUUGUGCAACAGUUCAGAUGAUCGUUUGGGUGCUACAGUGCAUUUGAAGGCUAACCUUGCAGAACAUAUACAUGCUUUCCGCCAAAGCUUAAUUCCAUCCUUUUGGAAUGACCUUCGUUCAGACACUUUGAAUAGGCUGGCUAAUAUUCUAGCACAGUCUGUCAGGUAUUCUGUAUUUGAUACAAGAGACUUAGGUAUUGAUAGGACAGCAGCCUUAUGUUCUGAGUGGGUGGUGGACAUGUUGAGACUCGUCUGUCUUGACCACAUAAAGCUGCAAAGUUUUUAUGAUAUUUUGUUAUCCGAGAGAGAAGAUUGGCCGCUCUGGGUCAAGCCUUCUUUACAGAAUGGCCAUGCAUCAGUGAAGUUCCAAUGUGAACCGCUUGCUACAGAAGAAACUGAACUGAAACAUCAGCGGUUCGUUGCUUUUGUUGACAAGAUUGUCCUAAACCUUAGCUUUGGUGAAGUGAUUCUAGGGAUUCCAAGAAAUCAACAUUGUACCACAUCAUCAUCGAUUGAUGUUACUUCACCUGUUUCUUCCUUCUCGAGAGCAUGGGUUGCUGCUGAGAUGAUCUGCACCUGGAAGUGGAAAGGGGGAAGUGCAUUUAGCACAUUCUUACCUUCUCUGGUUCAGUACAUGAAAACAGAGUCAUGUCCUGAGGUCAGCAUCAUGCCCUUUUUGCUUGACACGUUGCUAGAAGGGGCCCUUAUGCACGAGAGUAGUAACUGGGCACUGUUCAAUGUUUGGCAUCUGUCUGACAGUGAGAUUGACAAAAUUCAAGAUCGUUUUCUCCGUGCUCUUGUGGCUUUGUUAUUUACUACUUACACAAAGGAACGUAUUUGGAGAGAAUCCGAUGCACUUGCACUUUUUGAAAAGCUACUGGGUAGUCUUUUUGUCAGUUCAACAGUAAAUAGAAAAUGUUUAAGGACUCUUCCCUUCGUCAUGAGUACAAUCAUCAAGCCCUUGACAGAAAAGAUGAAGUCGGGUGAAGCUUCUUCGUGCACUGAUUUGAUGGGAGAAAGCAUAUUGAGUUGGCUUAAUGAAGCCAUCUCUUGUCUGUCAUUGAGCCCAAGGGAAGUAACACAACAAGAUAUUGAGGAUUGGAUGCAAGUGGUGUUAUCUUGCUUCCCGUUGGAGAUAACUGGCGGAACAGCGAAACUGGUAGUUAAGUUUGAUCGUGAGAUCAGCGAUGCAGAAACAUCAUUACUGCUUACUCUGUUUUCGAGGUACCGGGCUUUCUAUGCUAGUGCAGAUCCAUCAUUGUCCUCUAGUGGAACUAGCCUGUCGAAAACUGCUGAACUUUUGGGAGUGAAGCUAACAGCGGUUAUGGUUGGUUAUUGCUGUACAAAACUUGGUGAAGACGAUUGGUGCUUUGUGUUCCGUAUUCUGCGAAAGUGGAUUGAAUCGUCUGUUUUACUUGUUGAAGAAAUGACAGAUGGCGUGAAUGAUGCUGUAAUAAACCGGACAUCCGCUGAGGAUAUUUUGGAGAAGCUUAAACUGAUAGCUUGCACUCCAGAGGAGCUAACAUUUACUUUUGCUGAAUCUGCCCUGGUUACAUUGUGUUGCAUCAACCAUGUUGACAGUCUCCAUGAAUCCCAAACUCUGCAGCUUAUUAGAUCAGGGGAGUAUGCAGAGAGUAACGACAAGAUGAUGGAGAAUGUUCUCCGUUUGUUCUUGGCUUCUGGUGUUUCAGAGGCAAUUGCGGGAUCUUGUAGUGAAGAGGCUUCAUCCAUCAUAGCUUCCAGCCGUGUGGUUUAUCUGCAUUUUUGGGAACUAGUGGCAUCAUUCAUCAUCGAUGCUUCACCACAGAUUAGAGGAUGUGCACUGGAGUCCAUGAAACUGUGGGGACUAAGCAAGGAUUCAGUCAGUGGGCUAUAUUCAAUUCUUUUCUCCUCGGAGCCAAUAUCCCAUCUACAGUUUGCAGCUUACUCUCUACUUAUGUCUGAGCCCAUCUGUGAAGUUUCACUAGUCAAUGGAGAAAACCCUCAGGAGUCUGACAUGGAUCAACAAAGUAUUGAGUCGACACCAGAUUCGGAGAAGGCCCUAUGCCUCAGGGAUGAACUCUCGGCCUUGAUUGAGAUGCCUACUUCUGGACUUGCCAAAACAGAUCUGAUUGCACGAGACAGGGUUAAUGUGUUUGUUGCCUGGGCAUUACUGUUAUCACACCUUCAGCGACUGCCGUUAUCAUCCACUAGUAGGGCAUUGCUGUUAUCAUAUGUACAAGAUAAGAUUAGUCCGUGCAUAUUGGAUUGCAUUUUCCAGCAUAUCCCAUUAAGGAGUGGGAGUGGCGGUGGAGCUAGCGCCAGCGGGAAGAAGAAAGAUGCUGAACUGGUGCCUGAAGCAAAAGCUGCCGCGGAAGCUUCCAAGAAUGCCAUCGUAACAUGUUCACUGCUGCCGUACGUGGAAUCCCUUUGGCCUGUUGGAGUUUUGGAGAUGGCCUCACUGGCAGGGUCAUUGUACGGGAUGAUGAUUAGACUGCUGCCUUCGUAUGUGCGCACAUGGUUUACUGGCUUGAGAGAUCGUUCACUGUCAUCAUCCAUCGAGUCCUUGACUAGAGUAUGGUGCAGUCCUCCGCUUCUACUAGACGAGUUUUGUCAGGUGAAGGAGUCUGUUUAUGCUGAUGAAACGUUCUCGGUGAGCGUGAACCGGUCGGCGUAUGAGAUCAUUGCUACGUACAAGAAGGAAGAAACAGGGAUUGAUCUUGUGAUACGGCUUCCGAGCUGUUACCCUCUGCGGCAUGUGGAGGUUGAAUGCACGAGAAGCCUGGGCAUCAGCGAGGUCAAGUGCAGGAAAUGGCUGCUGUCGCUGACGUCAUUCGUGCGCAACCAGAACGGCGCUGUUGCCGAGGCGAUCCAGACCUGGAAGAAGAAUUUCGACAAGGAGUUUGAGGGGGUGGAGGAGUGCCCCAUCUGCUACAGCAUCCUGCACACAAGCAACCACGGGCUCCCGCGGCUGGCGUGCAAGACGUGCAAGCACAAGUUCCACGGCGCCUGCCUCUACAAGUGGUUCUCCACCUCCAACAAGUCCACAUGCCCGCUAUGCCAGACCCCGUUUUAG
rnacentral:rRNA from 1 species